rnacentral:rRNA from 1 species
GGAGAAAGAACCAACAGGGGAUGCCCUAGUAACGGCGAGUGAAGCGGCAACAGCUCAAAUUUGAAAUCUGGCCUCGGCCCGAGUUGUAAUUUGCAGAGGAUGCUUCUGGCGCGGUGCCUUCCGAGUUCCCUGGAACGGGACGCCACAGAGGGUGAGAGCCCCGUAUGGUCGGACACCAAGCCUGUGUGAAGCUCCUUCGACGAGUCGAGUAGUUUGGGAAUGCUGCUCUAAAUGGGAGGUAAAUCUCUUCUAAAGCUAAAUACCGGCCAGAGACCGAUAGCGCACAAGUAGAGUGAUCGAAAGAUGAAAAGCACCUUGAAAAGGGGGUUAAAUAGUACGUGAAAUUGUUGAAAGGGAAGCACUUGUGACCAGACUUGGGCCGGGCGGCUCAUCAGGGGUUCUCCCCUGUGCACUCCGCCCGGCACAGGCCAGCAUCGGUUCUCGUGGGGGGAUAAGACCGUCAGGAACGUAGCACCCUCCGGGGUGUGUUAUAGCCUGGCGGACGAUACCCCCGUGGGGACCGAGGUUCGCGCUCCGCAAGGAUGCUGGCGUAAUGGUCACCAGUGACCCGUCUUGAAACACGGACCAAGGAGUCGUCCAUUAGAGCGAGCGUUUGGGUGUAAAACCCGCACGCGUAAUGAAAGUGAACGCAGGUGAGAGCUUCGGCGCAUCAUCGACCGAUCCUGAUGUUCUCGGAAGGAUUUGAGUAAGAGUUUUAACGGACGGACCCGAAAGACAGUGAACUAUGCUUGUAUAGGGUGAAGCCAGAGGAAACUCUGGUGGAGGCUCGCAGCGGUUCUGACGUGCAAAUCGAUCGUCAAAUAUGAGCAUGGGGGGCGAAAGACUAAUCGAACUGUCUAGUAGCUGGUUACCGCCGAAGUUUCCCUCAGGAUAGCAGUGUUGAUCUUCAGUUUUAUGAGGUAAAGCGAAUGAUUAGGGACUCGGGGGCUAUAUAUUGCCUUCAUCCAUUCUCAAACUUUAAAUAUGUAAGAAGCCCUUGUUACUUAGUUGAAC